AUUCUGAAUCGUCGACGCUGCACACGGGAAUUAAAUAAUCCAUUUAAUUUAGACGAUGACGAGUUCAUUAAAUAAUAUCGACUGACCCCAGACAUGACAGGUUCUCUGUGUGAAGAGCUUAAGACAUUUUUAACGCAGCCAACAAAGUCGUCAGAUUUGUCGGUAGAGACUAAGGUUUUAACAGCUUUAUCCUUUUACGCUCAUGGUUCGUACCAGAGGCCUACGGGCGAGGUACGUGACUUGUGUAUAGCACAGUCAACUGUAUCAAAUGUUCUUGGUCAAGUAACAUCUGCAAUAAAUACUUCUUAUAUGCGAAAUAAGAACAUUAAAUUCCCAUUGUCGGCCGAACAACGCAGACGCAAUAAAUUGCAAUUUUACAGCAAAUUUGGAAUGCCCGGUGUUAUCGGCUGUAAAAACGGUACUCACAUUGCCAUUGUACGUCCAAAAGACCAUGAGGAAAAGUUUUUUGUCGUAAAAAUUAUCGCUCGUUGAAUGUACAACUAAUAUGUAAUGCAAACAUGCAAAUAAUUAGCAUUGAUGCGAGACACGGAGGAGCUACUCAUGAUUCGUUUAUUUGGUCCCAUCAUCCCCUAUGUGCUUACCUAAAUAACCUCAGCAGUAAUGAAGGUCUAUGGCUUCUAGGUGAUUCUGGAUAUCCUCUUAGGAGAACUGUAAUGACACCAAUAUUGAAUGCACCAGAAGGUUUAGAAGAAGCAUUUUAUACAGAUCGGCACGUGAAGACCCGGAAUGUGAUCGAGAGAACGAUUGGUCUUCUGAAGACCCGUUUCCAUUGCCUACUCGUACACAGAACAUUUCACUAUGAGCCACAAGCUGCAGGUUUAAUUACAAACGCAUGUGCAAUAUUACAUAACAUUUGUAAUGAAACCAAUGUUCCUGUUGAAGAACUGACACGAGAGGACACAAAUAAUGAAGCUGGAAUGCAACCUAACAUCAUUGCGUAUCGGGAUGCAGUUGGUGUUGCAAACAGCGACUUGCAAGCAGGCAUUGCAACAUGAAGUAAUCUUGUGCGACGCAUAGGAGAACUCAGGCAUCACGAUUAGUAACAGUUGAAUUAAAAUGAU